GGGCCGUUAGCUCAACUGGUAGAGCAACUGACUCUUAAUCAGUAGGUUUGGGGUUCGAGC
rfam:Desulfobulbaceae bacterium A2 Ga0073110_1085, whole genome shotgun sequence.